rnacentral:rRNA from 1 species
AUGUUCUCCUCUUUCUCCUGUUGGGGCACCUGCGGAAGGAUCAUUACUGUAUUCUAAUUGCCAGCGCUUAAUUGCGCGGCGAUUAAACCUUACACACAAUGUUUUUCUUUAUUAGAAACUAUUGCUUUGGCUUGGCUAAGAAAUUAGUUGGGCCAGAGGUUUACACAAACUUCAAUUUUUAAUUGAAUUGUUAUUUAAUACUUUGUCAAUUUGUUGAUUAAAUUCAAACAAUCUUCAAAACUUUCAACAACGGAUCUCUUGGUUCUCGCAUCGAUGAAGAACGCAGCGAAAUGCGAUAAGUAAUAUGAAUUGCAGAUUUUCGUGAAUCAUCGAAUCUUUGAACGCACAUUGCGCCCUCUGGUAUUCCAGAGGGCAUGCCUGUUUGAGCGUCAUUUCUCUCUCAAACCCUUGGGUUUGGUAUUGAGUGAUACUCUUAGUCGAACUAGGCGUUUGCUUGAAAUUUAUUGGCAUGAGUGACGCUGAGAAGUGCAUUCAGGAAAUAUCAAUGUAUUAGGUUUAUCCAACUCGUUGACAAUUCUUGGUUGUGAAUUUUUGGUGUUAGGCUUUGCCUUAAAAAACAACAAACAAGUUUGACCUCAAAUCAGGUAGGAUUACCCGCUGAACUUAAGCAUAUCAAUAAGCGGAGGAA